rnacentral:rRNA from 1 species
ACGGCCGCGGUAUCUUGACCGUGUGAAGGUAGCGUAAUCAUUUGUCUUUUAAAUGAAGACCUGUAUGAAUGGCGUAACGAGAGCUUAACUGUCUCACUCUUUUAGUCAAUGAAAUUGAUCUCCCCGUGCAGAAGCGAGGAUAAAUACAUAAGACGAAAAGACCCUAUGGAGCUUAAGAAUCUAAAGCAGCCCAAACAAAUUAAACAAAAUAAAGGACCCUGCUUUCACAUUUCUUCGGUUGGGGCGACCAUGGAGAAAAACAAAACCUCCACGAAAAAAAUACCAAUAAUUAUAUGAAUUAACGAAACACAAAUCUAAAUUCCAGAAUAUCUGUUUAUAAAUGAUCCGGCUUUACCUUUAAGCCGACCAACGGAUCAAGUUACCCUAGGGAUAACAGCGCAAUCCCCUUCUAGAGCCCACAUCGACAAGGGGGUUUACGACCUCGAUGUUGGAUCA